rnacentral:rRNA from 1 species
UACGUAGGGAGCAAGCGUUGUUCGGAUAUACUGGGCGUAAAGCGCACGUAGGCGGCGCAGCAAGUCAGGGGUGAAAUCCCGGGGCUCAACCCCGGAACUGCCCUUGAAACUGCAGUGCUAGAAUCUUUGAGAGCCGAGUGGAAUUCCGAGUGUAGAGGUGAAAUUCGUAGAUAUUCGGAAGAACACCAGUGGCGAAGGCGACUCGCUGGACAAGUAUUGACGCUGAGGUGCGAAAGCGUGGGGAGCAAACAGG